AUCCUGGCUCAGGAUGAACGCUAGCUACAGGCUUAACACAUGCAAGUCGAGGGAAACGAUAUUGGAAGCUUGCUUCCGAUAGGCGUCGACCGGCGCACGGGUGAGUAACGCGUAUCCAACCUGCCCAUCACUUGGGGGAUAACCUUGCGAAAGUAAGACUAAUACCCAAUGACGUCUCUAGAAGACAUCUGAAAGAGAUUAAAGAUUUAUCGGUGAUGGAUGGGGAUGCGUCUGAUUAGCUUGUUGGCGGGGUAACGGCCCACCAAGGCGACGAUCAGUAGGGGGUUCUGAGAGGAAGGUCCCCCACAUUGGAACUGAGACACGGUCCAAACUCCUACGGGAGGCAGCAGUGAGGAAUAUUGGUCAAUGGACGAGAGUCUGAACCAGCCAAGUAGCGUGCAGGAUGACGGCCCUAUGGGUUGUAAACUGCUUUUAUAAGGGAAUAAAGUGGGAGUCGUGACUCUUUUUGCAUGUACCUUAUGAAUAAGGACCGGCUAAUUCCGUG
rnacentral:rRNA from 1 species